rnacentral:rRNA from 1 species
UACGAGGGGGGCGAGCGUUGUUCGGAAUUAUUGGGCGUAAAGGGUGCGUAGGCGGCCUGACAAGUCUGAUGUGAAAUCCCUGGGCUCAACCCAGGGCCUGCAUCGGAAACUGUCGGGCUUGAGUAUGGGAGAGGUGAGUGGAAUUUCCGGUGUAGCGGUGAAAUGCGUAGAUAUCGGAAGGAACACCUGUGGCGAAAGCGGCUCACUGGACCAUUACUGACGCUGAGGCACGAAAGCUAGGGGAGCAACAGGAU